UAACAAGGUCUCCGUAGGUGAACCUGCGGAGGGAUCAUUACAAGUUGACCCCGGCCCUCGGGCCGGGAUGUUCACAACCCUUUGUUGUCCGACUCUGUUGCCUCCGGGGCGACCCUGCCUCCGGGCGGGGGCCCCGGGUGGACAUUUCAAACUCUUGCGUAACUUUGCAGUCUGAGUAAAUUUAAUUAAUAAAUUAAAACUUUCAACAACGGAUCUCUUGGUUCUGGCAUCGAUGAAGAACGCAGCGAAAUGCGAUAAGUAAUGUGAAUUGCAGAAUUCAGUGAAUCAUCGAAUCUUUGAACGCACAUUGCGCCCCCUGGUAUUCCGGGGGGCAUGCCUGUUCGAGCGUCAUUUCACCACUCAAGCCUCGCUUGGUAUUGGGCGACGCGGUCCGCCGCGCGCCUCAAAUCGACCGGCUGGGUCUUUCGUCCCCUCAGCGUUGUGGAAACUAUUCGCUAAAGGGUGCCGCGGGAGGCCACGCCGUAAAACAACCCCAUUUCUAAGGUUGACCUCGGAUCAGGUAGGGAUACCCGCUGAACUUAAGCAUAUCAAUAAGCGGAGGAAAAGAAACCAACAGGGAUUGCCCCAGUAACG
rnacentral:rRNA from 1 species